rnacentral:rRNA from 1 species
UGGGGAAUAUUGCACAAUGGGCGCAAGCCUGAUGCAGCCAUGCCGCGUGUAUGAAGAAGGCCUUCGGGUUGUAAAGUACUUUCAGCGGGGAGGAAGGCGAUAAGGUUAAUAACCUUAUCGAUUGACGUUACUCGCAGAAGAAGCACCGGCUAACUCCGUGCCAGCAGCCGCGGUAAUACGGAGGGUGCAAGCGUUAAUCGGAAUUACUGGGCGUAAAGCGCACGCAGGCGGUCUGUCAAGUCGGAUGUGAAAUCCCCGGGCUCAACCUGGGAACUGCAUUCGAAACUGGCAGGCUAGAGUCUUGUAGAGGGGGGUAGAAUUCCAGGUGUAGCGGUGAAAUGCGUAGAGAUCUGGAGGAAUACCGGUGGCGAAGGCGGCCCCCUGGACAAAGACUGACGCUCAGGUGCGAAAGCGUGGGGAGCAAACA